rnacentral:rRNA from 1 species
UGAGCCUUUACCUCACCAACUAGCUAAUCGGACGCGGGCUCAUCUCCGAGCAAUCAAUCUUUACCCGAAAAAUCUUAUGAUCUCUCGAGACCAUCCAGUAUUAGCUUCCCUUUCGGAAAGUUAUCCCAGACUCGGAGGAAGAUUACCCACGUGUUACUCACNCGUUCGCCGCUGAGUAUUGCUACUCCGCUUGACUUGCAUGUUUAA